rnacentral:rRNA from 1 species
GAUGAACGCUGGCGGCGUGCUUAACACAUGCAAGUCGAACGAAGCACUUUAUUUGAUUUCCUUCGGGACUGAUUAUUUUGUGACUGAGUGGCGGACGGGUGAGUAACGCGUGGGUAACCUGCCUUGUACAGGGGGAUAACAGUUGGAAACGGCUGCUAAUACCGCAUAAGCGCACGGCAUCGCAUGAUGCAGUGUGAAAAACUCCGGUGGUAUAAGAUGGACCCGCGUUGGAUUAGCUAGUUGGUGAGGUAACAGCCCACCAAGGCGACGAUCCAUAGCCGACCUGAGAGGGUGACCGGCCACAUUGGGACUGAGACACGGCCCAAACUCCUACGGGAGGCAGCAGUGGGGAAUAUUGCACAAUGGGCGAAAGCCUGAUGCAGCGACGCCGCGUGAGCGAAGAAGUAUUUCGGUAUGUAAAGCUCUAUCAGCAGGGAAGAUAAUGACGGUACCUGACUAAGAAGCACCGGCUAAAUACGUG